ACAAUUUUCCAACCAAGGUGGAAUCGAGACAGUGUUGACCACUGAAGAAGGUUAAGCUAUCUGGAUGAGUAGACCAGUCCCUUCCUGUGGCUCUUCCUUCUCACUGGGUCCUAAGCAGCGGUCAAAUCCUCUGAAGUCUGCUACCAGUUCUGUGAGUCUGCUACCGAGCGCGCACCUGCACAGCGCUAAAAAAGGAACAUUUUGAAGCCUUCCGAGUCUGCAAAGGUUACAGAACAUAUAAUAUUCCAUCUUCCUAUUUUUGAGGCCCUCAAGAAAAGAGCAAUCAUAAUAAAACUGUUCAAAGCCCAACCACCAGCAGAAGAAAAUCAAGAGAGAAAUGAUGAAAAAACGAGAGAUGUAUAGGAUCGAUAAGCAUCCAGCAAAAAAGCGAUGUCAAAGAGGAAAGUGAUUAGGUGAGGGGUUUUUUUUGUAUGUGUGUGUGGGUUUUUUUUAAGCAAACAGCAGAGACUGUUGCACACAAUUUAAGCAUCCCAGCUAAAAGAAGCCACUGCUGUUUUUCAGGCUAUUACAAGAGAGCGAUGCCCUGCUACUUUACUGUUAUUUUCUUUCGGUGACCAAAUGGAUAAGCAGUGAUGUAAUGGUAUCACUAAGAAGAAACAAGGCUGAGUUUUGCAAACUU